rnacentral:rRNA from 1 species
GGACGCAAGUCUGAUCCAGCCAUGCCGCGUGAAGGAUUAAGGCCCUCUGGGUUGUAAACUUCUUUUAUAGGGGACGAAAAAAGGGUUUUCUAACUCGUCUGACGGUACCCUAUGAAUAAGCACCGGCUAACUCCGUGCCAGCAGCCGCGGUAAUACGGAGGGUGCAAGCGUUAUCCGGAUUCACUGGGUUUAAAGGGUGCGUAGGCGGGCAGUUAAGUCAGUGGUGAAAUCUUCGAGCUUAACUCGGAAACUGCCAUUGAUACUAUCUGUCUUGAAUACUGUGGAGGUGAGCGGAAUAUGUCAUGUAGCGGUGAAAUGCUUAGAUAUGACAUAGAACACCGAUUGCGAAGGCAGCUCGCUACACAAAUAUUGACGCUGAGGCACGAAAGCGUGGGGAUCAAACAGGAUUAGAUACCCUGGUAGUCCACGCCCUAAACUAUGGAUACUCGACAUUUGCGAUACACAGUAAGUGUCU